UGGGGAAUUUUGGACAAUGGGCGCAAGCCUGAUCCAGCAAUGCCGCGUGCAGGAUGAAGGCCUUCGGGUUGUAAACUGCUUUUGUACGGAACGAAAAGCUUCUGGUUAAUACCUGGGAGUCAUGGCGGUACCGUAAGAAUAAGCACCGGCUAACUACGUGCCAGCAGCCGCGGUAAUACGUAGGGUGCGAGCGUUAAUCGGAAUUACUGGGCGUAAAGCGUGCGCAGGCGGUUAUGUAAGACAGAGGUGAAAUCCCCGGGCUCAACCUGGGAACUGCAUUUGUGACUGCAUAGCUGGAGUGCGGCAGAGGGGGAUGGAAUUCCGCGUGUAGCAGUGAAAUGCGUAGAUAUGCGGAGGAACACCGAUGGCGAAGGCAAUCCCCUGGGCCUGCACUGACGCUCAUGCACGAAAGCGUGGGGAGCAAACA
rnacentral:rRNA from 1 species